rnacentral:rRNA from 1 species
UACGUAGGUCCCGAGCGUUGUCCGGAUUUAUUGGGCGUAAAGCGAGCGCAGGCGGUUUAUUAAGUCUGGUGUAAAAGGCAGUGGCUCAACCAUUGUAUGCAUUGGAAACUGGUAGACUUGAGUGCAGGAGAGGAGAGUGGAAUUCCAUGUGUAGCGGUGAAAUGCGUAGAUAUAUGGAGGAACACCGGUGGCGAAGGCGGCCUACUGGGCUUUAACUGACGCUGAGGCACGAAAGCAUGGGUAGCAAACAGG